rnacentral:rRNA from 1 species
AGCGAACGCUGGCGGCAGGCCUAACACAUGCAAGUCGAACGAAGUCUUCGGACUUAGUGGCGGACGGGUGAGUAACACGUGGGAACGUACCUUUUGGUUCGGAACAACUCAGGGAAACUUGAGCUAAUACCGAAUGUGCCCUUCGGGGGGAAAGAUUUAUCGCCAUUAGAGCGGCCCGCGUUAGAUUAGCUAGUUGGUGG